UCGGUACUACCUCCGUUUCAUAAUUCUUGUCUCAAAUUUGAUCAAAAAUAGAUGUAUCUAUUCUUAAAAAGCGUCUAGAUACAUGUAAUAUUUCGACGAGAAUUAUGGAACGGAGGGAGUAUAUC
rnacentral:pre_miRNA from 1 species